GAGUAUUUUAUGAAUUUUACGGUUUGUUAAAAACCGUUUAAAACCCCUAAAAUCUUGACUACGGAUCAGGAGGUUGGGGGUUCGACUCCCUCCGGGUUCA
rnacentral:tRNA from 1 species